rnacentral:rRNA from 1 species
UACGAAGGAUUCGAGCGUUAUCCGGAUUUAUUGGGUUUAAAGGGUGCGUAGGCGGACUGAUAAGUCAGUGGUGAAAGCCUGUUGCUUAACAACAGAACUGCCAUUGAUACUGCCAGUCUUGAGUACAGUUGAGGUAGGCGGAAUGUGUCAUGUAGUGGUGAAAUACUUAGAUAUGACACAGAACACCGAUUGCGAAGGCAGCUUGCUAAACUGUAACUGACGCUGAGGCACGCAAGCAUGGGGAGCAAACAGG